AGGGCUCUUAACCAGCAAAGUGAGAGACUUUAUCUGGAAGGUGGACGAAGCAGAGCCUUUGUCCAGGUCUUUCUGGAAGAGCCCAAACAAUGAUGGUCAUAGAUAGUAUUUGUUGAGUGAUUAUUGUUCAUCAAGCUAAGCAUUUUUCAUGCAUUACCUUAAUUAGUCCUCCCAACAAUCUUAUGAAAUAGGGACUAUUCUUUAUCCCCAUUUAACAGCUAAGAAAAUCGAAGUUCAGAGAGGCUAAUCAAUGGUGAAGCCUGUAAUCAACCAAGAUGGGCUAAUGGCAGCAUCCUUAACCCCUGAGACGUCCUGCUUGCUGCUGGUGGAGCUAGAGCAGAAGGAGGCCCGUAGAGAGCAUGCCCAAGGCUGGAGCAGCAGCCAUGUCAGAGUCUGUUAACACUGAAAUUUAAUAUUCAACUGUAGAAAUUGAUUACAUUUAAUUUUAAAAUAAUUUCACAAAUUUAAUGAGCAUUUGUUCCUGAGUUAUUUUGUCUGCAUAAGUGUACCUCAUUUUAAACAUAUCUGUUUGGUGAAAUGCAGAAUAUGAAGAAGGGGAGAGACCAAGAAUGCAGGCCACUCUCUGAGGCCUUCAAAUCCUCCUGACCAAGUCAGUGUUUAAUGCUAGACCAAGCUUAAGGAAGGAAGAAAUCAGCACAGAGGAAUGAAAGCAGGGUUUGUAAAAACCCCCUAAAAUCACGUAAAACACAGGAAGGUAGAAACAUCAAAUCAUACAGUUUGUGGGAUGCCUGGAAAACAAAGAGACGGUUCACGCCCCUUUACAUGCCCUGGGCAAAGAGGUGUCACUAGGUGCCACUAAUUAGCUGUAUGCCCCUAGGCUAGUCAUUUCUCUAAUGUGGGCCUCAGUUUCUUCACUUGUAAAAUGAGAGAUUUGAACCUGAUGGUCUCUGUGGGUCCUCCCACCCUGGACCCAGAAUAUAAAGGUAUUAUUUCAUGACUAGCAAGAUAACUAAGCAGCAACAAUAUCAUACACUUACAGAGAACUCAUGUCUCAGGCACUGUUCUAAGUGCUUUCUGCAUAUUAACUCAUUGCAUCCUCAUCACACAAGUCCAUGAGGUGGGUGCUGUGAUCACCUCCUUUUGCAGAUGAGGAAACUGAGGCACACAGAGGCUAAGGAACACAUCCAAGGUCCCACAGGUAGUGGGUCGAGUUAGGAUUUGAACUCAGGCAGUCUAACUUUAACCCUGCAUGCUUAACCACUAUACAGCACCGCUUCUUUUCUGAAAAGCAACCUAAGAAGGAAUUUAUCUUUAUGCGUUCCAUAUAGUAGUUAUCUCUCUUAGUAGCUACAGCAAUCACUUUCAAGAUUUCAAUAGUUUUUUCUUCCCUCCAAAUGAAAUCCUAGAUAGAAUCUCAACGUACAAGCAGUAAAAGUAGAACUAAUCUAGUUUUGUAGGGGGAGGAGGAGGCAAGAGGCAAAACCCUACCCCCUCCUUGGGUCCUCUCCCACCCCUCCCAAAUGCAUUACCAACAGAAUCCUAGUCCUAAAAGAGUGUGUUUCAAAACGCUAUGGAGUACUAUGUGUUUAUGCUUUCUAAAAAUGAGUAAUCUUGUAACUCCCAGUAUUGAUUUUUGUAAUCCGUCAUCAGAAAAGUGUAUCUUUUAUGCUAAAAGAAUCACUUUAGGAAGUUUUGCUGCAUUAUUUGAAAUAAUUUUUAUUACUUCUAAGGAUAAAAGUUUUUGCCCCUUGUUGAACAGCAACUCCAUCUGUACAGUGUAAAUCAAUCCUGAAGAUGCAAUUUGAUAAAAAAAUGCAAUUUCAUCUAACACACAACUUUAGAGAAGUCAAGGAGUAUGUGUCAAGUGUCAACGGGCUACAUAAAGGACAUUUCUGCCCUAGAUACCAACCUAAGAGAGUCCCCUGAACAGCUCCCUGGGGCUUCUCUCACAGGAGAGCUUAAACAAUACUUUGUAAAAGUUGGGCUGUAUUAGGAGGCCCUGCUGUUCAGGGCCACCAAAUCCUGGCCUGGGAGUUGGAACACCUGACUUCUGACACUGGCUCUCACAGACUUGUUGCAUGACCUUGGGCAAAGCACUUCUCUUGGCCUCAGUUUAUUCAUCUGUAUAUUGAACCCCCUUUGUAGGGUUAACUCUCCUUGUCUAAUAUCCCAUGAUAUAUGCCCCCUGGCCUGCAUUAUUCUCUAGGGACCAAGUAGACUCCAGAUUUGAAACUUAGGAGAAAUGGGGAAAAAAAGCAGAAAGAGCAUAUAGAUGUGUGUUCUCACCAUCAGGCCAAAUUUUAGGAUGCUCUUCUGAGAGUCCUCAACACUUCUGUCCCCCAUCUGAGUUUCAGUGCUUGGGAGAAAGGGAAGAGGUCACUGCCACCCAGAACACUGUGCCUGGCUCAAAAUCUCAGCAUUGGCAGGCAGGGCACCCAGGAGUGAGCCAGCCCCAUGCACAAUACUCCCUACAUCCUUGGAUGAGGGUCUCCCAGCCUCUGCUGGGGCCUCAAAUAGUCAAGCUGUUGCAAGGAUUUAAGAUAUGGAAGAAAUGCAAACCAAGUUGAGUGGUGAUGUGCGCUGUGUCUUGGGGAGGUGCGAGGUCCAAGCAUGGAGUGGCUGGACAGAGAAAAUGGCAGAAGGAGGUCACCUGAUAAGCCCAAAGGUCCUUUUGAGAUUGGCCCAGGUUUACUAAACUGGUGGGGGGAGCUAGGGCGGGGCGGGGAGGGGCCUAGCUACUCCCAAUCUCACCCCCUAAUCUCAAAACCUGCGGAGGUUUCCUGCCAUAAGCAGACCAUUCUUCCCAAAGGGGCCACUGGA